AAAAAACUCUCUUCAAAUAUCUACAUUCUCUUCGUCUUCCUCCCGAGGACUCCCCGAUAAUGUUUAGAUCCACGGCUAUGAACUUUUCCUCACCAGUUGUUUCAAUGAUUUGGACGAAAAUCUUCAGAAGAGACUUCGAGCUGCCUAUGAAACUUUCUCUGGAGCAAUCGAAGAUCCUCGCGUUCUACAACCAAUCCUUCCCAUUUACGCAGGGUUUCUCAUCUUCAAUUAGUUUAAAGGGUAUUAUUUUACGACAUCAGAGUUGCCGGAACCGUUGAUGGUGAUGGCCACUGAGAAGGCAUUUGAUAUUUUCGAUGACGAGGAGGAUGACCCGCUCAUUGCUUCUGAGGAAUGCCCGACUCGUCAGGACGAAUGUCCUAUCAAGAAUUUUGGUUGCCUUUGUGCUUGUACUCGCAACCUGAAGGUGUUCUCCACAUUUUAAAAGCUGGGCAUAUCUGUGGAUGUUGUUGCAACCACCGAAGUUAGCAUUUCCUUGACACUGGAUCCUUCAAAGUUCUGUAGCAAAGAGUUGAUUCAACAGG